rnacentral:rRNA from 1 species
AGUGAACGCUGGCGGUAGGCCUAACACAUGCAAGUCGAACGGCAGCACAGUAAGAGCUUGCUCUUACGGGUGGCGAGUGGCGGACGGGUGAGGAAUACAUCGGAAUCUACUUUUUCGUGGGGGAUAACGUAGGGAAACUUACGCUAAUACCGCAUACGACCUACGGGUGAAAGCAGGGGAUCUUCGGACCUUGAGCGAUUGAAUGAGCCGAUGUCGGAUUAGCUAGUUGGCGGGGUAAAGGCCCACCAAGGCGACGAUCCGUAGCUGGUCUGAGAGGAUGAUCGCCCACACUGGAACUGUGACACGGUCCAGACUCCUACGGGAGGCAGCAGUGGGGAAUAUUGGACAAUGGGCGCAAGCCUGAUCCAGCCAUACCGCGUGGGUGAAGAAGGCCUUCGGGUUGUAAAGCCCUUUUGUUGGGAAAGAAAAGCAGCAGGUUAAUACCCCGCUGUUCUGACGGUACCCAAAGAAUAAGCACCGGCUAACUUCGUG